GGAUUGUGGCUCAGUGGUAGAGCGGGCCCUCGCAUGGGCAGGACCCGGGUUCGAUCCUCAGCACCA
rnacentral:tRNA from 1 species